ensembl:lncRNA
AAUUUGGGGGGGUUGUCCCUGAUUUGGGGGGUUUGAAACCAAAUUUGGGGAGAAACAGAGAAUUUGGGGGGUUUGUCCCCAAAACUGGGAAAUUUGUCCCUGAAUUUGGGGAGAAAUUGAGAAUUUGGAGAAUUUGUCUCUGAAUUUGGGGGUUUGUCCCUGAAUUUGGAGGGUUUAAAACCAAAUUUGGGGAGAAACAGAGAAUUUGGGGGGUUUGUACCCGAUUUUCGGGGAUUUGUCCCCAGAUUUUGGGGUUCGUCCCCAAAUUUGGGAAGAAAUUGGGAAUUUGGGGGGUCGUCCCUGAAUUUGGAGGGUUUGAAGCUAAAUUUGAGGAGAAAUGGAGAAUUUUGGGGGUUUGUCCCCAAAACUGGGAAAUUUGUCCCUGAAUUUGGGGAGAAAUGGAGAAUUCGGAGAGUUUAUCCCGAAUUUGGGGGUUUGUGCCUGAAUUUGGGAAAAAUGGGAGAACUUGAGGGGUUUGACCCCAAAUUUUGGGGUAUUGCCCCUGAAUUUGGGCAGAAACAGAAAAUUUGGGGGAUUUUACCUGAUUUUGGGGGAUUUGUCCCCAAAUUUGGGGAUUUUGCCUCUGAUUUUGGGCAGAAACAGAAAAUUUGGGGGAUUUGUACCUGAUUUUGGGGGAUUUUUCCCCAAAUUUGGGGAUUUUGCCCCCGAAUUUUGGGGUUUUUGGGCAAAAAUCUGGUUUAACUCCCUGAAUUCCCCUCCACCCUCCCAAAGCCACACAUUUGGGGGAAAAAAGGAGAAUUUUGGGACUUUGGAGCUUUAAUUAAGGCGAGGGGGAGGGGGAGGGAAAUUUGAGGGGGAAUGGGGGAAUUUGGGGGCUGGCCCCGAAAUCUGGGGGAAAUCCCCUGAAAAAUCAAAAUUUUGGGGGAGAAAAGGGGAGAAAUGAGAUGGGAGCUCCUGGAGAACGCGGGAAUUUGGGAUUUAGCCCCAAAAACGCACCAAAACACCCCAAAAACCAAAAAAACCCAAAAUGCACCUAGAACUGCUCAAAAUCCCCUAAAAACCCCAAAAACCACUUGGAACCAACCAAAAAAACCCUAAAAAACCCCCAAAACCACUAAAAUCAACCAAAACCCACCAGGAACUGAUCAAAAGCUCAUUAAAAAACCCCAAAAACCACCUGGAACUGCUCAAAAACCCCUAAAAAAAACCCCAAAACCACCUGAGACCAACCAAAAACCUCAAAAACUCACCAAAAACUGCCUGGAACCGCUUAAAAACUCCUAAAACCCCCUAAAACUACAAAAAUCACCCAAAUACCCCUAAAAAACACCAAAACCCCCUGAAAACACCAAAAAACACCCAGAACUAUCCCCAAAGUAACCAAAAACCUCCAAAAAUACCCCAAAAACCACCCGGGACCCCUCAGGGGGGAAAAAGGAAAAAUUGAACCUGACUCUCAAAAUUGGGGGGAAAAGGCCAAAAACUGAACCAGAGUCCCAAAAUUGGGGGGAAAAGGCCAAAAAUCGAACCUGAGUCCCAAAAUUGGGGGGAAAAGGCCAAAAAUCGAACCUGAGUCCCAAAAUUGGGGGGAAAAGGAAAAAAUCGAAUCUUAGUCCCAAAAUUGGGGGGAAAAGGCCAAAAACCGAACCUGAGCUCCCAAAAUUGGGGAUUUAAUUUAAGCUUUUGGGGUUUAAUUUAAUUAAAGUUUUUGGGGGGCUUAAUUAAAAAUUUAGGGGGAUUAAUUAAAGCUUUUCGAAGAUAAUUUAAAGCUUUUUGGGGGUUUAAUUAAAGCUUUUGGGGUUUAAUUAAAGACCCAAAUUCAGUAAGCGCCCCCAAAGCCAGGCUUGGCCACGCCCACAUUUAAAUUAGCCCCGCCCCUCGCAGCAUUAUUAAUCCUUAAUUAGCAUUAAUUAGCCCCUUAACGAUUAGCCACGCCCCUGGGUGGGUUAAUUAUGCAAACGAACGCCCCCAAAGGGAGAGAAUUAGGCCCAGCCUGGCGCGCAAGAGGUUAAUUAAUUAAUUAAGAUGUUAAUCAGGGCUAAACCACGCCUCCACAACGAAGGGGGCAGCCCCAUCCACGCAGGGGUUAAUUAAUUAAUUACCUCAGGGAAUCAAACCCCGCCCCCGCAGGGGUUAAUUAAACCCGGAGCGAGCUCAUUAAUUAAUUAACCGGGAAGUCAAACCCCGCCCCAGAACAAAACCACGCCCCUAAAGCCAAACCCCGCCCCCGGCGGGGUAAAUCCCGGCCCUGAAGGGGUUAAUUACACCCCCCAGCGCAGUCAUUAGUUAAUUACGCAGAGCAAUUAGUUAAUGAGGGCGUAGCCCCGCCCACCGCGGGUUUGGCCACGCCCCUCGCGGCCCUGAGGGGGCGCCCCUCACUCCCCCCCCUUUUCCCGCCUCGCUCCCUCACGCGCCGCCGCCAUUUCCACCCCCCAAAAACCUUUCCCGACACCUCCGGGCGGCUCUCCGCCUCGCGAACCCUCCCGGAGCCCCUCGGGACCCUCCCGGAGCCUCCCCCGCUGCCCCUCACCGCUCCGGGCACCGCCGCGCUGCCGCCGCCGCCGCCGCCGCUUCCUCCGGGGGCUGAGCGCAAAAUGGCGCCCGCGCCGCCCUCAGCGCCGCCAGCGCCGCUAAACCCGCCCACG